rnacentral:rRNA from 1 species
GAUGAACGCUGGCGGCGUGCCUAAUACAUGCAAGUCGAGCGAACAGACGAGGAGCUUGCUCCUCUGACGUUAGCGGCGGACGGGUGAGUAACACGUGGAUAACCUACCUAUAAGACUGGGAUAACUUCGGGAAACCGGAGCUAAUACCGGAUAAUAUAUUGAACCGCAUGGUUCAAUAGUGAAAGACGGUUUUGCUGUCACUUAUAGAUGGAUCCGCGCCGCAUUAGCUAGUUGGUAAGGUAACGGCUUACCAAGGCAACGAUGCGUAGCCGACCUGGGAGGGUGAUCGGCCACACUGGAACUGAGACACGGUCCAGACUCCUACGGGAGGCAGCAGUAGGGAAUCUUCCGCAAUGGGCGAAAGCCUGACGGAGCAACGCCGCGUGAGUGAUGAAGGUCUUCGGAUCGUAAAACUCUGUUAUUAGGGAAGAACAAAUGUGUAAGUAACUAUGCAUGUCUUGACGGUACCUAAUCAGAAAGCCACGGCUAACUACGUG